GUGACCAUCAAGACCAUUAAAUUUGGAUAAUAAAACUCGAGGUGGAAACCAGGAGGCAGCCGGAAGAAUACAUCCGAGGACAGGACACAUCAAGAGAACCUGUACGCCGUGUCCCGUACGCCAGAAAGCUGCUCUACCAGGAGCUGCAGUCCGUGAACAUCAUCCCUCGACUCGAGCUGUCGCGCUACAGCGAGUGAGCAGGACAAGGACAGAGAUGUGUUGGGUGGAGACGAGGUGCCUGGAGGAGCUGGACCUCAGUAUGAACCCACUGGGGGACAGCGUGUCUGAGUCUGUCCUGUCUGCUGUCCUGCUGCCCUGUGCUAGCCAAGCUGUCUCUGCAGGCCUGCAGCCUCACUGCUCGUUUCCUUCAGCAGCAUCGACUGCUGCUAGCCAGCGCGCUCACAGGCACAGGCCAUUUGAAAGCAGUGUGCCUGUCCCACAAUCCCCUGGGCUCCACCGGCUUUGAGCUGGUUUUAAAGACUCUGCCCCUCCACUGCCUCACACACGUGGACCUGUCGGCUGUCUGCAGAGGGCCUGCUGAUUACCCGGCACUGGAACACCUCGCCAAAGUCCUGUCACAGGACGAGUGCUCUCUGACCCACCUGAGCCUGGCUGCAAAUGGGCUGACAGACAGCAGUGUAGCUACCUUGGCGAGGUUGUCAGGUCUCUGGCCCCUGGGAGAGUGAAGACCUGGACAGUUUGUCAGAGCUGGUCCAGGAUAUCCGUCUUUGCUCUCAGGCCCUCAACAAGCUGGACCGACAGACCUUGAAGCAGAGCUGGGACAGGACUCAGUCACACGGACACUUUCUCGACCGAAACUCCAAGUGCCUCCUCUCUGCCACCUCCACUUGAGGGUGGCAGGUGUGACGAUGUUGACAGAACUUUGCUUCUGAUGUCUACUCUUUAUCACUGACGGUGGAUUUUGAGCAAGUGGUCAUUUCUAUAAACAUUUUGUUUAAUGAGGCUACACCAAAAAAACCCAAGAUAAAACCAAAAUAAAGUGACAUGGUGUCCACCAACAAUCUGUUGAUAGCUUGUGUUUUAUACAUUUUUGUCUGCCUUAUUUAUACAUGUAAAGUUCUGUAUCUGU